UAGGCGUAAAUGAUGCGAGUUAAGUGUGGGGGCAUCUACGAGAUGGCCCUGUGCUGUAGGGUAGCCGUUAAACUCGCUGCCUGGGAGUACGGUCGCAAGGCUGAAACUUAAAGGAAUUGGCGGGGGGAGCACCACAAGAGGUGGAGGCUGCGGUUCAAUUGGACUCAACGCCGGAAACUCAUCGGGAGCGACAGCAGUAUGAUUGCCAGGUUGAUGACCUUGCUUGACAAGCUGAGAGGUGGUGCAUGGCGUCAGUGACU
rnacentral:rRNA from 1 species